GUGGGGAAUAUUGGACAAUGGGCGAAAGCCUGAUCCAGCCAUGCCGCGUGUGUGAAGAAGGUCUUCGGAUUGUAAAGCACUUUAAGUUGGGAGGAAGGGCAGUAAGUUAAUACCUUGCUGUUUUGACGUUACCAACAGAAUAAGCACCGGCUAACUUCGUGCCAGCAGCCGCGGUAAUACGAAGGGUGCAAGCGUUAAUCGGAAUUACUGGGCGUAAAGCGCGCGUAGGUGGUUCAGCAAGUUGAAGGUGAAAUCCCCGGGCUCAACCUGGGAACUGCCUACAAAGCUACUGAGCUAGAGUACAGUAGAGGGUAGUGGAAUUUCCUGUGUAGCGGUGAAAUGCGUAGAUAUAGGAAGGAACACCAGUGGCGAAGGCGACUACCUGGACUAAUACUGACACUGAGGUGCGAAAGCGUGGGGAGCAAACAGGAUUAGAAACCCGGGUAGUCC
rnacentral:rRNA from 1 species